rnacentral:misc_RNA from 1 species
GAUGAAGAACGCAGCGAAAUGCGAUACGUAAUGUGAAUUGCAGAAUUCAGUGAAUCAUCGAGUCUUUGAACGCACAUUGCGCCCCCUGGUAUUCCGGGGGGCAUGCCUGUCCGAGCGUCAUUGCUGCCCUCAAGCACGGCUUGUGUGUUGGGCCUCCGUCCUCCUCCCGGGGGACGGGCCCGAAAGGCAGCGGCGGCACCGCGUCCGGUCCUCGAGCGUAUGGGGCUUCGUCACCCGCUCUUGUAGGCCCGGCCGGCGCCAGCCGACCCCAACCCUAAAUUUUUUUCAGGUUGACCUCGGAUCAGGUAGGGAUACCCGCUGAACUUAAGCAUAUCAAUAAGCGGAGGA